GCGGUCCGGAGGCGACCUGUGCGCGAGGAGGCGCUGUGGAGACUGAGGCACAGCCCCUCCGAGGAAAGCCGAGAUUGGACGUUUCCUUGCUGGCUGAGCCGCGGCUCGUCCCCGGGAGCGACACAUAGAAGUGGCCUUGCAUCCUGAUCCGCCUCCCGAGCCGGGUCCUUGGUUCCCGGAAGCCCUGGGCUGCCGCGUUGGAGUUACCUUCUGUGUGUUCUCUCCUAUACCUACACAUUAUUCACGACUUUGUUCAUGACUAUGGAAAACAAAACAAAAACAAACCAAACCAAAGUCCCCUCGCCUGGCGAUGGUGCAAGCCUGUCUACCUGCUGGAGGAUGGUUGGAAUGUGCACACCUGGCUCAACCAAAAGAGGCACAGCUUAGGGGCGGCUUGGACCCAGCUCAAGUCUGGACUUGGCAGCUUUCCUGAGCCUGCCUAGGAAAAGCAGGCUGGAUUGCAGGUGUCCCAGGGCUCUCUGGAGGAGCAGCAGCAACACCAUGCCUGGCUCUGGUGCCUUGGUCUCCUCGGAGAGGACGCUUGAAGGAAUGGCACUCAGCAGAGUACAGGCCCCGUAACAGUGCAGCGCAGCGACAUCAGCUGAGGACUGGACAGAAUGGUCCUGAUGCUUGGCAGUGAUCCGUACAUGGAUAACCCUCUGCAUGAAAGGGCAGUGAGCCAGGAACCUCAAGCCACCCGGGAGCAGGUGCCUACUUGGCGUUUUCUGAGACGAGAGGCAGCGGAGUGUGUAGCAAAGGUGGGGCUGGCUCUUGCUGCUUCUGAAGCUCCAUCUCAGCAGCCCUCUGCAGCGCCACCUCCACCAGCAACUGGAAGCUGCUGAAGUCAUCCUUGUCCUGCUCUGGGGGUGUGGGUGGUGGCGUAUUGAAGAGUCCACCCGUGGGGCUUCCAGCCUCUGCCCUAGUCAGCAGGGGUCACUGUAAAGCUCUGGCUGUUCUGGAACUCACUAUGUAGACCAAGGUGGCCUCAAAUGCUUCUACUUCCUGAUUACCAGGAUUAAAGCCACCAUGCUUGGGCUGGAGAGAUGGCUCAGUGAUUUAAGAGCACUGACUACUCUUCCAGAGGUCCUGAGUUCAAAUCCCAGCAACCACAUGGUGGCUCACAACCAUCUAUAAAAAGGAUCUGAUGCCCUCUUCUGGUGUCUGAAGACAGCUACAGUGUACUCAUAUAAAU
rnacentral:lncRNA from 1 species